GCAGUAGGUUUUCUGUUUAUAGGUUGUUUUGCUUGCUCUCGCCUGUGGAGCAAUCGGAGACGAGUUUGCUAGAAGUGAGGCCGGGAAGCUUGUGAAGACCCGGGCCCUCACUUGGCCGACGCUGGCACCUCACACGUGUUUAUCACAUGUCUUGCUGUCUCGGGUGGAGCCCAGCUGUUUCCUUACACUUUGUCAGGUUUCUUUAGAGUAACAAGAGUCCAGAGGUGUAAAGCCGGCUGUGAAUCUGCCUCUGAACCUUGUGCAAAGGGCGGAGCGCGGAGGCGUCACGGGACGCUGUGGCUUCUGAUGGCACCCCUCUGAUCCCGAAAGCGUGUGGGCCCUGAGCACUAGAGAGCCCACCGGCUGCUGGCGGCUGCAAGGCCUUCCGCAGUUGUUGCCCGGGACCUCAGAGGAGCCGCUGGGCUGGAGAGGGGUCUGCCCCGGGCCCUGUGGGCAGGAGGGCAGGGUGGGGUCUCCGCAGUGGGUGCCAGGUUUCCACCUGCUUGGCCCCGAGGCUCGGAGGCCUUGUGGCAGGAGCCCUCAGCUGCAGGGGCACAGCUCGGGGAGCCAGGCUCUUGUGCUGGGGGCUGUUCGUUAGGUGAUGAUAAAGUGCCGGGUGUCUGCCUUUUAAAUUGAGAGCAGAGAGCAAAAUUGUUUGGCACAUAGAACAAACAUAACAUGUUCACUUUGCCCUGCGGCAAGGAGCUGAGAGCAACCGGAGGAGGCUCUGCCCAGAGAGGAGGAGCUGAGCCAGGACAAGAGCCUCCUGCCUUCCUGGUUUUGCUGGACCAGCCCCUCGCAGGCGUCCUCCUCCACCUCAGACAUUCAGAGCCUUCUGGGUCCCUGUGCCUGCCUCCCCCGCUCCGCCCGACAGCACGGCCAGCAUCAGGUGCCUCCUGCCGCCUUGCGUCCGCGAUGCUGCCCCACGUGGGGAGGUCCCCAGUCCGGUGCCUGCUCUGCGCCCUGGCCUCCUGCCGCCGGGCUCCCUGGAGACCCCGAGGAAGCGGCGCCCUGCACACGGCCCCGGCAUUGCGCUCGGACGGGAGCGGCCCGGUCUUCACCCGCGCCCUGGCCUUCGGGGACCGGAUCGCCCUCGUGGACCAGCACGGCCGCCACACGUACGCGGACCUGUACUCCCGCAGCCUCCGCCUGUCCCGCGAGAUCUGCGCGCUGCGCGCCUGCGCCGACGGGGACCUCCGGGAGGAGCGGGUCUCCCUGCUGUGCGCCAACGACGCCUCCUACGUGGUGGCGCUGUGGGCCGCGUGGAUGAGCGGCGGCGUGGCCGUGCCCCUCUACCGGAAGCACCCCCCGGCCCAGCUGGAGUACUUCAUCCGGGACUCCCGCAGCUCCGUGGUCCUGGCCGGCCCGGAGCACGUGGGGGUGCUGGGCCCGGUGGUCGGGAAGCUGGGGGUCCCGCUCCUGCCUCUCUCGCCCGAGGUCUACCUGGGGGCGGCCGAGGCCCCCGGGGCGGGGCGGGUGCCGGAGCGGGACUGGAGAAAGCGAGCCGCCACCAUCAUCUACACCAGCGGGACCACGGGGAGGCCCAAGGGCGUUCUGAGCACCCAUCGCAACCUCGAGGCCGUGAAAACAUGUCUGCCUUCGACAGACGCGUACAGCAGGGGUGGUGACGUGAGAGGCCCAGAGCACAGAGGAAGCUCAGAGGCCAGUGGCACUGAGUCAGGCCGAUUCAGCCCGGGGUCCGUGGUGACGGGGCUGGUCCGCAAGUGGGCCUGGACUCAGGACGACGUGAUCCUCCACGUCCUCCCGCUGCACCACGUCCACGGCCUGGUCAACAAGCUGCUGUGUCCGCUCUGGGUCGGGGCCACCUGUGUGAUGCUGCCUGAGUUCAGCGCCCAGCAGGUUUGGGAAAAGUUCUUGAGUCCGGAAGCUCCCCGGGUCAACGUGUUCAUGGCCGUGCCCACCGUCUACAGCAAGCUGAUGGAUUACCACGACAGACACUUCACCCAGCCGCACGUCCGGGAUUUCGUGCGCGCCGUUUGCGAAGAGAAAAUCAGGCGGGCAGCACCAGGCAGUGUGCAUGAAGGACCCACGAGCACUGCCUCCUGUAGACGGCCACCUCCCACCUGCCCUUCCCCCGAGAGCCGGUGGCGUGUGAGGCAUAAGCCACCGCCUCUGCCGCAGCUCUUGCUCAGGGCUGUGUCUGGGGAGCAGGGCGAGUGGCUGGAGACACGCCGCCAAAGCCCGAGGUUGAUGGUCUCAGGCUCGGCCGCGCUGCCCCUGCCGGUGCUGGAGAAGUGGGAGGGCGUCACCGGGCACACGCUGCUGGAGCGCUAUGGCAUGACGGAGAUUGGCAUGGCCCUGUCCAACUCGCUGACCACGCGCCUGCCAGGCUCGGUGACCCGCACGCGUCUGGAUGGCCCUCGGCUCUUCCUGUCCGGUCUUCUCUAGCACAUUCCACAGGACGGAACUCACAGCCUGGGUCCCUGAUAGGGAGCCCUCAGGCAGAGCCCAAGGCCCGAGUCACGAACCUGGCCGUUUUCCUGGAUGGUAAGUUCCCUGCAGUUUGUCCAAGACACAACAGCUGUCUCAGAAUGGAACGUAAACGAACCCCGAACCUCUCCUCUGUCCGUCGCCCCACGUGUCUCACACACACAGCGAGGGUCACACUUGUCAUGCUCAGGUCUGAGUUUUCGGGAACACGCCGCCAGGCCGCCGUCACGGUGACGUCAGGAGGUUUAACCGCCUCCGGAGCCUCCCUUUUCGGGAGCAGCGCCUCCCAGGCCCCGCGAGCACGCACCUGCUUCCGCCCUUGGAGAGUCACACGGACCAAGGCUCCAGGACCUGCCUUCGGGUCUGGCUUUUAGCAGGAUGUGCCCAGUAGCACGUGUGGUGUGGACAAGCCGCCGUUUAACCUGUGUGCCACCUAAGGACACUGGGUCGUGUCCAGUCUUGGACGGUCACCAGUCAGGCUGCUGUGAACGUCCGGUGCAGGCCUCUGUGUACGCACGUCCCCGUGUGGUUGUGGGUCAGACGUGGCUGCAGGCUGCACAUAACAGCCCUGGCCCAGGGCUGACCUCCCGCCGCCAGACCAGACGCCCUCUGUGGAAGGCUGCAGCGCUCAGGCUUGGAGGAAGGAGCCCUGCGUCCCAGGGCUCUGGAGAUGCUGCUGAUCCUGCUCUGCCACAGUGGGAACUCGGGGCGGUACUUCUCCAGUCUUAGAUUCUGGCUGCAGCUCUUCUUCCAGCUCAGCGCGAGGCCUCUCCUGCUGGAACCAGACGCGAGGUCCAUUCUCCACGUCGGUCACUGCAGGGCCGGCUCUUUGAUUUGGAAAAGAUGAACCCAUUCGCCCUCACCCUGAAUCCCGGAGCGAGUCCCUGAGCACAGGCUCUGGAGGGAACAGGCCUUGGCCUCCGUGCCCGCGACCCCUGGGCCGGCUCCUCCAGCCAGAGGCUCCGUGGGCACCCCGCUGCCCGGCGUCGAGGUGCGGAUUGUCUCGGGAAACCUGCAGAAGGACGGCUGCCCCUGUAUCGUCCAUGCGGAAGGAAACGAGAGG